rnacentral:miRNA from 1 species
CCAGAACCUCCGGGUUCGGGGU